AACGAACGCUGGCGGCGCGUAUUAAGCAUGCAAGUCGAACGGGAACUUCCCCGCAAGGGGAGGGGAGAGUGGCGAACGGGUGAGUAACACGUAGGUGAUCUAUCCCCGGGUGGGGUAUAGCCCAUGGAAACAUGGGGUAAUACCGCAUGAGGUCCUGGAGCUUGAAGGCUUCUGGAUGAAAGGCGCAAUUGUGUUGCCUGGGGAUGAGCCUGCGGCUCAUUAGCUAGUUGGCGGGGUAAAGGCCCACCAAGGCGACGAUGGGUAGCCGGCCGGAGAGGGUGGACGGCCACACUGGGACUGAGACACGGCCCAGACUCCUACGGGAGGCAGCAGCUAAGAAUCUUCCGCAAUGGGGGAAACCCUGACGGAGCGACGCCGCGUGGACGAAGAAGGCCGCAAGGUUGUAAAGUCCUUUUGCAGACGAAGAAUAAGGCACGGAGUGGAACGCCGUGCUGAUGACGUUAGUCUGCGAAUAAGCCCCGGCCAAUUACGUGCCAGCCGCCGCCGUAACAC
rnacentral:rRNA from 1 species